rnacentral:rRNA from 1 species
AAGAACCCCGGGAGGGGAGUGAAAGAGAACCUGAAACCGUAUGUCUACAAGCAGUCGGAGCGAAAGCGACGGCGUGCCUAUUGAAGAAUGAACCAACGAGUUACGUGCACUAGCGAGGUUAAGUGGAAGACACGGAGCCGAAGCGAAAGCGAGUCUUAAGAGGGCGGAUAGUUAGUGUACGUAGACCCGAAACCGCAGUGAUCUACCCAUGUCCAGGUUGAAGCGCAGGUAAAAUUGCGUGGAGGACCGAACCUGUGAGCGUUGAAAAGCUUUAGGAUGAGAUGUGGGUAGAGGUGAAAUUCCAAUCGAACGCGGAGAUAGCUGGUUCUCCCCGAAAUAGCUUUAGGGCUAGCCUCAAGUAGUAAGUAUAGGCGGUAGAGCACUGAUCGGGCUAGGGGCCAUAAAGGUUACCGAACCCUGUCAAACUCCGAAUGGUUAUACUGUAGAGCUUGGGAGUCAGACUACGAGUGAUAAGAUCCGUGGUCAAAAGGGAAACAGCCCAGACCACCAGCUAAGGUCCCCAAUGUCGUACUAAGUGGAAAAGGAUGUGGGGUCUCUAAAACAACCAGGAUGUUGGCUUAGAAGCAGCCACCAUUUAAAGAGUGCGUAAUAGCUCACUGGUCGAGAGACCCUGCGCCGAAGAUUACCGGGGCUAAAGUACGAAACCGAAGCUGUGGCUACGACGUAAGUCGUGGGGUAGGGGAGCGUUCUGUGAGGGCUGAAGUCGUUCUGUAAGGAACGGUGGACUUCACAGAAGUGAGAAUGUUGGUAUGAGUAGCGAAAAGAAUGGUGAGAAUCCAUUCCACCGAAAGCAUAAGGAUUCCUGGGCAACGAUCGUCGUCCCAGGGUAAGUCGGGACCUAAUCCGAGGCAUAGAGCGUAGGAGAUGGACAACUGGCAGAUAUUCCAGUACCGGUAAUGAUUGUUUGAGCGAUGGAGUGACACAGGAGGGCAGGCAGGCAGGAGAUUGGUUGUUCCUGUACAAGCGUGUAGGAUGGGUUGUAGGCAAAUCCGCAACCUGUGAGUCUGAGGCGUGAUGUGGAGGUUCCGGAAACGGAACUGAAGCUGCUGACCCCACACUGUCGAGAAAAGCUUCUAGUUAGAGAAUUACCGCCCGUACCGUAAACCGACACAGGUAUGCGGGGAGAGAAUCCUAAGGUGCGCGGGAGAACCCUCGUUAAGGAACUCGGCAAAAUGUACCCGUAACUUCGGGAUAAGGGUAGCCGCUGUUGUGAAGUCUGAACAGACGGAGCAUGAGGCGGUCGCAGAGAAGAGGCCCAAGCGACUGUUUACCACAAACACAGGUGCCUGCUAAAGAGAAAUCUGACGUAUAGGUGCUGACACCUGCCCAGUGCCGGAAGGUUAAGGAAGGAUGUCCGGAGCAAUCCAAAGCAUUCGACCGAAGCCCCGGUGAACGGCGGCCGUAACUAUAACGGUCCUAAGGUAGCGAAAUUCCUUGUCGGGUAAGUUCCGACCCGCACGAAAGGUGUAACGAUUUGGGCACUGUCUCAACGAGGGACCCGGUGAAAUUGAAGUACCUGUGAAGAUGCAGGUUACCCGCGACUGGACAGAAAGACCCCAUGGAGCUUUACUGUAACCUGACAUUGGGUUCUGAUACAUCACGUACAGGAUAGGUGGGAGGCAUGGAAGCGAGGACGCUAGUCUUCGUGGAGCCGCCGUUGGGAUACCACCCUUGAUGUAUCGGAAUUCUAACCGUAGGAGUAACGAAACUCGGGACAGUGUCAGGCGGGCAGUUUGACUGGGGCGGUCGCCUCCCAAAGAGUAACGGAGGCGCCCAAAGGUUCCCUCAGCGCGGCCGGAAAUCGCGCGAAGAGUGUAAAGGCAGAAGGGAGCUUGACUGAGAGCCAAACACGGCGAUCAGGUACGAAAGUAGGGCUUAGUGAUCCGGUGGCAUCCAAGUGGAAGGGCCAUCGCUCAACGGAUAAAAGCUACCCUGG